rnacentral:lncRNA from 1 species
CUGGAAUCGUGCAUACACUUUAUUACAUGUACUUUAACAUAUUUACAAAUAUGAAUGGAAAAUCUGGUUUGAUCUUUAAUCAAAAUGCGAAAAAUUUGAUCUUUAAUCAAAAUGCGGCCUAUAGGCUAUAUAUAAUCUAUACAGCUAUUUCAAUUAAGGUUGUCCCCGACCAAAGAGGAAAAGUCGAACACAAGCGCGAAAGCUAGUGCGAAUCCCAGCAGCCUUUCGCGCUCGUAUUCGACUUUUCCAAAUUCCGCUUUGCUCGGGGACAACCUUAAUCCGUGGUGUAGCCGUGGAAUGUUAACAAGGGGGGCUCUCCAACAGCGGGCGAAACUUCAGUAUUACGGCUGGGGGGGGUGAGCUUGUUUUGCUCAACCGAAAGAGCCUUUCUGAAGUCGUUCCUGAGAGACGAACAAUUGACCAGUCGCUAAUUAAUAUUUCUUCUCCCAAAAUAGUUGGUGAGCGGAGUAUUUUUCACUACCACUUUUCCCUACCACUAUUACUUUUCAAUCUGAGACACUCGAAUAUUUUCGAAAUUUGCCCGACUAAAUUGUAUGGGUAUAACUGAUGGGAUAGAUGGGUAGUAGAUGGGUAGAUGGGUAGUAGAUGGGAUAGAUGGGUAGGGUAGUUUCGUCCCUGUUCUCCGAAAGUGUCCUGAACUGGCAAGGGGGGGGGGGAGGUGUUUACAAUAUGAUACAGUAUUUUGGAAAUUCUAAAUUAUUUGGGGUUUUUUUCUAAUAAUUGUGGGACAAACAUUUAAAAUUAUGCUUAUUAAAAACAAUUGCCGUUAGUAAUAUAAAAUAUUCUAAGCAUCUCAAAAGAGUAUGUAAUUCAAGGUUUCUCUACCACUUUUUGUAGAUGCAAUUCUAAAGAACAUUCUCGUUUAAGAUUAUUCAAAAAUUAUAGGGCGGGGGCUCACCCCCCCCCCCCCAAGUUAACAUGAAAUUUUAACAGGGGGCUGAGCCCCUCUCCACUACACUACUGAAAUGAAUUGAAAUAGCUGUGUAUACUAUGGUACGCAAAGUUUGCCAAAAGUUUGGCCCUAUCAAAAUGUAGAAUAUUCCAAUAUUCACAAUAUUGGUUGAAUAAUAAAACAGGUCAAGUAAAGUUUCUUUGGAUUUUUCGCUACUCAUAAAUAUUGUACAAAGCAAAAGUAACUCUAUGCAACGAUAUCAUUAAUCACUACCUACACUGACACUGCUUACACAAUUUCCACACUGUCCUAGAAUGUGAAUAUAUUAUUUGUUCAUUUAACCUUCAAUCACAAUCAGUUCCUCCUUCGGAAAAUCUUUCCUCCGUAAAUGUCAAUUAUAAAGGCAUUCAGGGUCAUCCAUUAAUUUUCUUGCAUUACAAGGUUUGUGUCUACUGGAGACAUAUGAUGUAAGAUUGAAGAAAAUUCCAUGAGUACCAGGAUACUGUAGGAUUGUGAGGAUCUGUGCACAUCUAUCUAGCAAAGGAUACAAAACAGCAAAUGUAUUACAGUAAUUAAUGUAUUAAGAAAAAAAACAAUGGUUAAGUAUAUCCUACUCACAUGAGACAUGUAUGGAAAAGCAGAACAUAUUUGCCAAUAUUGGAAUGAAUCUUGGGUGGAUGCAUUAUUAAGGGUGGUGAAUGCAUUAUUAUAGGGCAUUCUCCUCCGGAAAAUGUUUGGAAUUUGAAGUCAUGAAUGCCAUUUCCUGCAUUCUGAGCAAUUAACAUCGAUCUAUAUUUAUUAAAUUUGUCCUCAACAAUUAGGAAAGUAAACCUUACACUCUCUCCCUCAAAAUAAAAUUGUCUGGUGUCA